GACGAACGCUGGCGGCGUGCCUAAUACAUGCAAGUUGAGCGAUGAAGCUUGGUGCUUGCACCAAUUUGCAGAGCAGCGAACGGGUGAGUAACGCGUGGGGAAUCUGCCUUUGAGCGGGGGACAACAUUUGGAAACGAAUGCUAAUACCGCAUAACAACUUUAAACAUAAGUUUUAAGUUUGAAAGAUGCAAUUGCAUCACUCAAAGAUGAUCCCGCGUUGUAUUAGCUAGUUGGUGAGGUAAAGGCUCACCAAGGCGAUGAUACAUAGCCGACCUGAGAGGGUGAUCGGCCACAUUGGGACUGAGACACGGCCCAAACUCCUACGGGAGGCAGCAGGAGGGAAUCUUCGGCAAUGGACGAAAGUCUGACCGAGCAACGCCGCGUGAGUGAAGAAGGUUGUCGGAUCGUAAAACUCUGUUGGUAGAGAAGAACGUUGGUGAGAGUGGAAAGCUCAUCAAGUGACGGUAACUACCCAGAAAGGGACGGCUAACUACGUG
rnacentral:rRNA from 1 species